rnacentral:rRNA from 1 species
CCUACGGGAGGCAGCAGUGAGGAAUAUUGGUCAAUGGACGCAAGUCUGAACCAGCCAAGUAGCGUGCAGGAUGACGGCCCUCCGGGUUGUAAACUGCUUUUAGUUGGGAAUAAAAGGGGGCUCGUGAGCCCCGUAUUGUAUGUACCAUCAGAAAAAGGACCGGCUAAUUCCGUGCCAGCAGCCGCAGUAAUACGGAAGGUCCGGGCGUUCUCCGGAUGUACUGGGUUUAAAGGGUGAGUAGGCCGGAUUUUAAGUCAGCUGUGAAAGUCCGGGGCUCAACCGUGGAAUGGCAGUUGAAACUGGAGGCCUAGAGUGCACACAGGGAUGCCGGAAUUCAUGGUGUAGCAGUGAAAUGCUUAGAUAUCAUGAAGAACACCGAUCGCGAAGGCAAGUGUCCGGGGUGCAACUGACGCUGAGGCUCGAAGGUGCGGGUAUCAAACAGGAUUAGAUACCCGGGUAGUC